rnacentral:rRNA from 1 species
GACGAACGCUGGCGGCGUGCUUAACACAUGCAAGUCGAACGGAAAGGCCCUGCUUUUGUGGGGUGCUCGAGUGGCGAACGGGUGAGUAACACGUGAGUAACCUGCCCUUGACUUUGGGAUAACUUCAGGAAACUGGGGCUACUACCGGAUAGGAGCUCCUGCUGCAUGGUGGGGGUUGGAAAGUUUCGGCGGUUGGGGAUGGACUCGCGGCUUAUCAGCUUGUUGGUGGGGUAGUGGCUUACCAAGGCUUUGACGGGUAGCCGGCCUGAGAGGGUGACCGGCCACAGUGGGACUGAGAUACGGCCCAGACUCCUACGGGAGGCAGCAGUGGGGAAUAUUGCACAAUGGGCGGAAGCCUGAUGCAGCAACGCCGCGUGCGGGAUGACGGCCUUCGGGUUGUAAACCGCUUUCGCCUGUGACGAAGCGUGAGUGACGGUAAUGGGUAAAGAAGCACCGGCUAACUACGU